rnacentral:rRNA from 1 species
AAGCGCGCGUAGGUGGUUCGUUAAGUUGAAUGUGAAAUCCCCGGGCUCAACCUGGGAACUGCAUCCAAAACUGGCGAGCUAGAGUAUGGUAGAGGGUGGUGGAAUUUCCUGUGUAGCGGUGAAAUGCGUAGAUAUAGGAAGGAACACCAGUGGCGAAGGCGACCACCUGGACUGAUACUGACACUGAGGUGCGAAAGCGGUGGGGAGCAAACAGGAUUAGAUACCCGGGU